GAUGAACGCUGGCGGCGUGCCUAAUACAUGCAAGUCGAGCGGCAGCACGGUCUUCGGACUGGUGGCGAGCGGCGGACGGCUGAGUAACGCGUAGGAACAUGCCCUAAAGUGAGGAAUAACUGCCCGAAAGGGUGGCUAAUGCCGCAUAUGCUCUUCGGAGUAAAGCUUUAUGCGCUUUAGGAGUGGCCUGCGUCCGAUUAGCUUGUUGGUGAGGUAAUGGCUCACCAAGGCGACGAUCGGUAGCUGGUCUGAGAGGAUGAUCAGCCAGACUGGAACUGAGAACGGUCCAGACUCCUACGGGAGGCAGCAGUAGGGAAUUUUCCACAAUGGGCGAGAGCCUGAUGGAGCAACGCCGCGUGCAGGAUGAAUGCCUUCGGGUUGUAAACUGCUUUUAUGUGUGAAGAAUUUGACUGUAACACAUGAAUAAGGAUCGGCUAACUACGUGCCAGCAGCCGCGGUAAUAC
rnacentral:rRNA from 1 species